rfam:Microbial mat metagenome hsmat02_BHWH10384_y1, whole genome shotgun sequence.
UCCUGUUUUCUGCAACAGGUAUUCUACCGGGACGUGCUUUCGGAGUAAUCUGAUGGUGCGAAGCUUCCGGGACAAUGAAGCCCGUGGGGACUUGAUCUCCAGAAGAGGAAACCGCGAGGGGACCUCAACUUCUGCCAGCAUCGGGGCGGUAGGGGGC